ACGAGCCGGUAAAACCUCAAAACACCUGAGAACUACGAACUAAAGUUUAAAACUCAAAGGACUUGGCGGUUUUUUAGAUCUUCCUGGAGGAGCUUGCUAUCUAACCGAUAACCCCCGAAAGACCUCACCAGCUUUUGAAAAUUCAACUUGUAUACCAUCGUCGUCAGUCUACCUCUUAAGAGAAGUACACCCAACGGUAAUCAGACCCAGCACGUCAGAUCGAGGUGCAGUUAAUAAGCUGGGGAUAAGUGAGCUACAAUAUUGUAUCAGAAAGAAUACACCCCACCACCACUUUGGAUUAUCCAAUGAAAAAAAAUCGGAAAUAGGAUUCAGCAGUAAUAACUACAAGAAAAUAGUUAUGAAACAAAUCAAGCUCUAAAAUACGCAC
rnacentral:rRNA from 1 species